rnacentral:rRNA from 1 species
UCCUGCCGGACCUGACUGCUAUUGGAUUGAUAUUAAGCCAUGCGAGUCAUUGUAGCAAUACAAGGCAUACUGCUCAGUAACACGUAGUUAAUCUACCCUGUGGACGAGGAUAACCUCGGGAAACUGAGAAUAAUACUCGAUAGAUCAUUAUGCUUGGAAUAGUUUGUGAUUUAAAUGAUUUCGCCAUAGGAUGAGACUGCGGCCUAUCAGCUAGUUGGUGUGGUAAUGGCUCACCAAGGCUAUAACAGGUACGGGCUCUGAGAGGAGAAGCUCGGAGAUGGGUACUGAGACACUGACCCAGGCCCUAUGGGGCGCAGCAGGCGAGAAAACUUUGCAAUGUGCGAAAGCACGACAAGGUUAAUCCAAGUAAUUUCUGCUAAAGAAAUCUUUUGUUAGUUUUAAAAAUACUGAUGAAUAAGGGGUGGGCAAGUUCUGGUGUCAGCCGCCGCGGUAAAACCAGCACCUCAAGUGGUCAGGAUGAUUAUUGGGCCUAAAGCAUCCGUAGCCUGUUGUGUAAGUUUUCGGUUAAAUCCAUGUGCUUAACAUAUGGGCAGCUGGAAAUACUAUACGACUAGGGAGUGGGAGAGGUAGACGGUACUCGAUAGGAAGGGGUAAAAUCCUUUGAUCUAUUGAUGACCACCAGUGGCGAAGGCGGUCUACCAGAACACGUUCGACGGUGAGGGAUGAAAGCUGGGGGAGCAAACCGGAUUAGAUACCCGGGUAGUCCCAGCUGUAAACAAUGCAAACUCAGUGAUGCGUUGGCUUAUAGCUAACGCAGUGCUGCAGGGAAGCCGUUAAGUUUGCCGCCUGGGAAGUACGUACGCAAGUAUGAAACUUAAAGGAAUUGGCGGGGGAGCACCACAAGGGGUGAAGCCUGCGGUUCAAUUGGAGUCAACGCCG